rnacentral:tRNA from 2 species
GGGCGAUUGGCUCAGUUGGUUAGAGCACUACCUUGACAUGGUAGGGGUCACAGGUUCGAAUCCUGUAUCGCCCAC